AACGAACGCUGGCGGCAUGCCUAACACAUGCAAGUCGAACGAGACCUUCGGGUCUAGUGGCGCACGGGUGCGUAACGCGUGGGAACCUGCCCUUAGGUUCGGAAUCACUCCCCGAAAGGGGUGCUAAUACCGGUUAAUGUCUUCGGACCAAGGAUUUAUCGCUUUUGGAUGGGCCCGCGUUGGAUUAGCUAGUUGGUAGGGUAAAAGCCUACCAAGGCGACGAUCCAUAGCUGGUCUGAGAGGAUGAUCAGCCACACUGGGACUGAGACACGGCCCAGACUCCUACGGGAGGCAGCAGUGGGGAAUAUUGGACAAUGGGCGAAAGCCUGAUCCAUCAAUGCCGCGUGAGUGAUGAAGGCCUUAGGGUUGUAAAGCUCUUUUACCCGGGAUGAUAAUGACAGUACCGGGAGAAUAAGCGCCGGCUAACUCCGUG
rnacentral:rRNA from 1 species